rnacentral:rRNA from 1 species
AUGGACUUCGCGGAGAUCUCGAAGAAGGUUGACGCCCUCAAGGCCGAGCUCGCCGCCAAGUCAUCCCGCAUCGCCGGCCUGGAGGCUAGGGUCUCGCUCCUCGAAGCCGAGAACGCGGGCCUGAGGAAGGCCGUGUCUGAGGGAGGCUCUGGUCGAUUGGAGGCGGGUCUCGGCGGAAGCAAGCAAAAGUCAGCCGACAUCUCUGGAGGGCAUGCGGUGAAUCAUGUCAUAGAGGUCAGUGACGGUGAGGAAGAGGAAAUGGCUGUUGAUGUCAAUGAGAUUCUGGAUGACGAUGAUGUUCUCAUCACGCCGCGAGGCAAGAAGUGUGUGGCGGCACGGGUGGUCAGUGACAGCGAGAGUGAGGAUGGGGAUGAGAAUGAUCAAGGGCAUGGAGAUGGGGAGGUGGGUGUUACAAGCAGCAGGAAGCGUGCGUUGCGUGGAGUCAGUGACAGUGAGAGCGAGGAUGGCAGUGAGGGUGCUCGUGUUGUUAAUCAAAAACCUGGUUCACCUCUAGUUACGACAGGGAUUGAGAGUGAGGAUGACGAUGCUGAAUUAUAUGGGAUGGAGGGGUGUUCUACUCCCGGAACAAAAAGGCGUUUCGCUCGGUUAACUGAAAGCCAAUCAAAGAGAAUGCGACCUGCACGUCGGGAACUUGAGUUUUUUGAACCCAAGAAUCAUGAAGAGAGCGAGGAUGAUUCAGAAGAGGAUGAUAGUAAAGAUUUUAUAGAUGAUUCAGAUUGUUCAGAAAAUUCUGCUGAUUCUGUUGAAGAACCCUCAGCUGGACCAGAAGAAUCUGACAAUGAGGAAACUAUUGAAGAUCUUAUGGCUAGGAUACGCGGCAAAAGAAAUGCCAAGAGCAAGGAUUGGAAGAUUGAGGCAGAGAUGCUGUCAGCAUUUGACGAACACCCUGAACUUCGCCUGAAAGCUGUUUGUGCCCUCUAUCGAAUGCAGACCGAGGAAGAACAGGCAGAAAAGGCCACUAUAAUUCACAACAAAAAGGGAUUUAGCCAGAUAGAUGCCCCAAGGGGUUCUCGCGUAGCGCAGUUUCUUCUGGAUGGUGACGCUGCUGGGCCGCUUAAGAAGACUGCACAGGACUUGGAGAAGUACGAUCGGCGUGCUCUUGAGUUCUGUCACAAGAUGGCUUUUCGUUACUCGAAGCAGUUGUUUGCAAUAUAUCAGAAGAAGGAAGACCCCUAUUUUCCAUGA